GCCUGGCUGGCUCAGGCAGUAGAGCAUGUGACUCUUGAUCUCAGGGUCAUGAGUUCAACCCCCACGUUGGGUG
rfam:Felis catus isolate Cinnamon breed Abyssinian chromosome A2, whole genome shotgun sequence.